CGCAGCCGCGGUAAUUCCAGCUCCAAUAGCGUAUAUUAAAGUUGUUGCAGUUAAAAAGCUCGUAGUUGAACUUCGGGGUCUACCCAUUGGUCAGGCUUAAUUGUCUGCACUGGUGAGAUUGAUCUCUACCUUCUGAGGAACUUUCAUGCCAUUUAUUUGGUGUGAUGGGAAAUCAGGACUGUUACUUUGAAAAAUUAGAGUGUUUAAAGCAGACUAUCGUCUGAAUACAUUAGCAUGGAAUAAUGAAAUAGGACGGACUGAUUCUAUUUCGUUGGUUUCUAGGAUCACCGUAAUGAUUAAUAGGGAUAGUUGGGGGCAUUAGUAUUCAAUUGUCAGAGGUGAAAUUCUUGGAUUUAUUGAAGACUAACUACUGCGAAAGCAUUUGCCAAGGAUGUUUUCAUUAAUCAAGAACGAAAGUUAGGGGAUCGAAAACGAUCAGAUACCGUCGUA
rnacentral:rRNA from 1 species